rnacentral:rRNA from 1 species
GAUGAACGCUGGCGGCGUGCCUAAUACAUGCAAGUCGAGCGAACAGACGAGGAGCUUGCUCCUUUGACGUUAGCGGCGGACGGGUGAGUAACACGUAAGUAACCUACCUAUAAGACUGGGAUAACUUCGGGAAACCGGAGCUAAUACCGGAUAAUAUUUCGAACCGCAUGGUUCGAUAGUGAAAGAUGGCUUUGCUAUCACUUAUAGAUGGACCUGCGCCGUAUUAGCUAGUUGGUAAGGUAACGGCUUACCAAGGCAACGAUACGUAGCCGACCUGAGAGGGUGAUCGGCCACACUGGAACUGAGACACGGUCCAGACUCCUACGGGAGGCAGCAGUAGGGAAUCUUCCGCAAUGGGCGAAAGCCUGACGGAGCAACGCCGCGUGAGUGAUGAAGGUCUUCGGAUCGUAAAACUCUGUUAUUAGGGAAGAACAAACGUGUAAGUAACUGUGCACGUCUUGACGGUACCUAAUCAGAAAGCCACGGCUAACUACGUG